rnacentral:rRNA from 1 species
UACAGAGGGGGCAAGCGUUGUUCGGAAUUACUGGGCGUAAAGGGCGCGUAGGCGGCGCGGUAAGUCACUUGUGAAAUCUCUGAGCUUAACUCAGAACGGCCAAGUGAUACUGCAGUGCUAGAGUGUGGAAGGGGCAAUCGGAAUUCUUGGUGUAGCGGUGAAAUGCGUAGAUAUCAAGAGGAACACCUGAGGUGAAGACGGGGUUGCUGGGCCAACACUGACGCUGAUGCGCGAAAGCCAGGGGAGCAAACGGG